AACGUUUUUUUAAAAUAUAUAUAUUUUACCUAUACUAUGUCAUCCGCUUUCACCAUUCAACAUAUAUAUAAAGCGUUCUAACCGUUUGAUCUAUAUUUGUUCCGCUAGAUCUGCUUGAUCCGUAUUUUUCUUCUUGAUACGCUUUAACCGCUUGAUCCGCUCCGUCCAAUACGCUUUCUCUAUUCGGAGCCUUUAUUUAAUUUUUACUUGGGUUCAUAAUAUACCAUUAGUCUUAAGGUUUAGUUAUCUUGAAUUAAUGAGCAUUUAUAGAAGAGAUUAUAUGGGAUAAGCAAUUUAUUUUUUUUUGGGGAUGAAAGUUGAAUUGAGAAAACGCGAAGAAGAAGAUAUCAAAAGGGGCAAAAUCGUCAAUUCAUCAGAAGAAAAAUGUACGUCCUUAGACUAUUUACAAUGAGACUGUUUAAAAAAAUAUUCAACUGCUUAAUAAAUUUAGUGAAGGUGUUGAAUAAUAUGAAAAGUAUAUGUGGAUUAAAUUGUGUUGAAUAAAAAACAAAUGGGACCCAUGCUACCACAUGGUGAACCGUAACUGGAAGAAGUGAUGAGCGAAGAUGUGUGUUUUUGGGUGGUGAUAGGUGUUAUUUUCUUAUUGGUUACUCAGAUUUUCGUAAUUUUUUAUACUAUCCCAAUUAUUUACAUUCAAUUAUUUUAUAAUAAUAAUUUUU
rnacentral:sRNA from 1 species